AUGCACGCUGGCGGCGUGCCUAAUCCAUGCCAGUCGCGCGAACAGACGAGGAGCUUGCUCCUCUGACGUUAGCGGCGGACGGGUGAGUAACACGUGGAUAACCUACCUAUAAGACUGGGAUAACUUCGGGAAACCGGAGCUAAUACCGGAUAAUAUAUUGAACCGCAUGGUUCCAUAGUGAAAGACGGUUUUGCUGUCACUUAUAGAUGGAUCCGCGCCGCAUUAGCUAGUUGGUAAGGUAACGGCUUACCAAGGCAACGAUGCGUAGCCGACCUGAGAGGGUGAUCGGCCACACUGGAACUGAGACACGGUCCAGACUCCUACGGGAGGCAGCAGUAGGGAAUCUUCCGCAAUGGGCGAAAGCCUGACGGAGCAACGCCGCGUGAGUGAUGAAGGUCUUCGGAUCGUAAAACUCUGUUAUUAGGGAAGAACAAAUGUGUAAGUAACUAUGCACGUCUUGACGGUACCUAAUCAGAAAGCCACGGCUAACUACGUG
rnacentral:rRNA from 1 species